GCGCCUCCAAGCUUGGGUGCAGCCUCUCUGGGAGGCUUCAGCUCUUGGUCCCGGGCCACAGGCCUGGGCCUCCACGCCGCAGCCCUUAGGCCGAGGGGCGUGGCCUUCGGGGGACGCGCUGCGGAGCCGCGCUUGUCCAGCAGGGGAGGCCAGAAAACAGCUCAGCGGAGUCAAGGUGCUGAUUCGGACACCCCGCUGGCCCUGGUGCCAGGCCGUCGAGAAGCCUGCCAGGGCCAUUGUCCCCUCUGUCAGACAAUGAACUGAACCCAGGACAAAGCCUUUUACCACAGAGACAGAAAAAACACGACGCCAACCCUCCAGGGCUACUUGAACCUGAAGACUCGGAGCCUCUGGCACCAGCCAAAAAAACAAAACAAAACAAAACACUACUCCAUUUACAUUAGUGAUGACCUUCAGUUAAUCUGUAACCAGUGAAAGAUGCGGACUUUGAAAUCCGAACGGGAUCAAGUCCAGCUUUUCUGCAUUGGGCAAAUGAAGCUGUCAAAGCCUCUCUAACUGCCAGGCUGUCCGUCACCAGGUUGCGCAGGGCAUACAGAUAGUGCAGAGUCAUGAAACCACACUAGGUCCUGAGAUACCGGGGGCGUGGCACCGGAGGUCAAGGGAUUCCCUGCUGACCCACUUCUGUAGUCCUGAGGAUGGAGCCCAGGGCUGUAGACUGUCAGGAAGACACUCUGCCGCUGAGCUACGGCCCCAGGCCCAUUUUGGAUUUGAGACAGCAUCACUAAAUUGUCCAGGCUAAGCGUCAAACCUACAGUCCUCAGCCUCCCUCGCAGCUGGGCUUCCAUGCUGUACUGUCACACCCAGCUCUCCUAACUCACCUCGGGAAACAUCCAACAAAACCAUCCUGCACAAAAGGACAGCGCUCUCCGGCCUUCCGAGGCAGACUGACUGGCGCCCGGGUCCAGUUCUUCAGGGAGGCGGUGCUUGCUGAACGGCACUGAUUUGUUCCUGGAUUCCUGAUUCUGUCUGUGUUUUGUAGGAGGUGGGACCCCACUGUGUUGCUCGGGCUUGCCUCAGCCUCCGGUGCCGGGGAGACCCUCCUGACCCCUGUCCCUCGGGCAGCUGGGAUUGGAGGCCCGCAUUGGUGGAGGCAGCCAGGUUCUUGACU